GUGUCAGCAGCCGCGGUAAUACAGAGGUGGCAAGCGUUGUUCGGAAUUACUGGGCGUAAAGGGCGCGUAGGCGGCCCGAUAAGUCCCGCGUGAAAGCCCCCGGCUCAACUGGGGAACGGCGCGGGAAACUAUCGGGCUUGAGUUCGGGAGAGGGAAGCGGAAUUCCGGGUGUAGCGGUGAAAUGCGUAGAUAUCCGGAGGAACACCGGUGGCGAAGGCGGCUUCCUGGACCGACACUGACGCUGAGGCGCGAAAGCUAGGGGAGCAAACGGGAUUAGAAACCCGUGUAGUCC
rnacentral:rRNA from 1 species